ensembl:lncRNA
GGGAAAGAAAGAUGGCAAAGAAACUGCCUGCAAUGUAGGAGACCCGGGCUCAAUCCCUGAGUCAGGAAGAUCCCCUGGAGAAAGGAAUGGCUACCCACUCCAGUAUAGUUUAUCUGGAGAAUCCCAUGGACAGAGGAACCUGGCAGGCUACAGUCCAUGGGAUCACAAAGGGUUGGAUAUGACUGAGUGACUAACACUUAACUUACUCAUAUAUUUAAUCACUUGUGCUAACUUAUUGCAAUUCUGUUUCUUCAUAGUGAGUUUGCUUGUCCUUGUUCUUAUCUAUUAUGGGUUGCUUUUGCAGUUGAACUAUUGAAGGCAGUCUUCUUUCUGAGACCUUUGUAGGGGGCACCUUAUUUUUUAUCUGCUGGUCUAUCAUUGACCACUGCCUUUUUCUUCUCUGGUUUAUAUCACAUUAAUUCCUCUUGGUUUCCCCUAAAUCUUCUCCUUCAGCUUAACCUCCGCGACCCACUUCAUUGGAUAGAUCAGUGGAAUGCCCACCUGCCAGGCACAGGCAAGCCCUAGCCAUGCCAGAGAAGGUUGGUGGGAGAAUUCUCCCAUGCCAAGGAUGCUGUAUCAGUCUCCAUCAUCCGGCUGCCUCCUUGGGUCUCACUUCUUUGUGAAACUUCUGCAUAGUUUGUGUCAAUGGCACCCCACUCCAGUACUCUUGCCUGGAAAAUCCCAUGGAUGGAGGAGACUGGUGGGCUGCCGUCUAUGGGGUCACACAGAGUCAAGCACGACUGAAGUGACUUAGCAGCAGCAGCAGCAGCAGCAGCAGAGUUUGUGUAAGAUCAAUAUUGUUCUUCUCCCAAUAUUUGGAGGGAAUCACUGGUGAAAUCAUCUGGCCCUGAAUUUAUUUUGUGGGAAGAUUUUUAAAAAUUAUCAGUUCAUCAAUCAAGAUCUAGACAGGAGACAGACCCAAUAUAAUAAUUUGAAUUUAAAAAGUUUAAAAUAAAGAAUUAUCAACUAUUUACAAUGUUUUAGCUAUUAAGAAGGAAUAAAAGAGAACUCUAAAGAAGAUACUAGGACUGAAGCACAAUAGCCAAGGCAGAAACACGUUUGGAAGUGAGGUGUUCCUUCUCUUGGUCUAGGAUUCAAAUUCCGUGGAAGUAGACAUGGGUGCAGCCCACUGGAUACUGGAGGAACAUUUGCCUGGGGCAGAGCUGGUCCACAGGUGGUGGACUGGGUUUGGAGACAGAGAAUCAUGGGUUUGAAAUGGCAAACUGAAGGCCUCUAGCUGAGUGCUAGCUGGCCAAGGCUGCCAUAAAGGAAACUUGAAGUAGGAAGCCCCUGUUGGGAUGCAGGUAGAUGGAAGGCUGAUGGGCAGGCAACUAUGAGCCAGGGCUUGCAAGCUGUCAGGUGAAUGCCUCUAGGUGUCUGCCUGCUGCUGGCCAUGUAUACCAUAGGGAAGAACUCAGAACAGUACCCUGGGAAUCAGGGAGAAAGGGUGUUUCCCCUUUUUAAAGUGAGAAGCUCAGCUGUGUUCCAGCCUGCAUGGAAGAAAUGUAUUACAAACAAAGCAAUGAAGAGUGGAUUUGGAGCUGAGAAAUAAUUGGCACAAUUAGAUUAAAUUUUGUAGGCAAAUAGGGAAAUUUCUGGGCUUCCCAGGUGGCGCUAGUGGUAAGAACCUGCCUGCCAAUGCAGGAGACUUAAG